UGGGUGAUCUGCCCCGCACUUCGGGAUAAGCCUGGGAAACUGGGUCUAAUACCGGAUGUACCUCAUUGAUCUCCUGGUUGGUGGGGGAAAGCUUUUGCGGUGUGGGAUGGGCCCGCGGCCUAUCAGCUUGUUGGUGAGGUUACGGCUCACCAAGGCGUCGACGGGUAGCCGGCCUGAGAGGGUGUCCGGCCACACUGGGACUGAGAUACGGCCCAGACCUCCGUACGGGAGGCAG
rnacentral:rRNA from 1 species